GCAGCGUUUGUUAAAAGUGUGCUUGUGUGAUAUGCAAAGCGUUGCUCAAUUUCUCAAAGUUUUCCAGCUAGAAAACGUACCUGUUGCUUUUAAGAUUUUUCCGUACUAUUUGCCACGUAUGAAAGGAAACGUCCAUGGGAUGUGGGAUAUGCCUGUAUGUUUGAUAUAAGCGAAAAUACAGAGAACAAGAUGUGGAAUGAAAUAGUAAUUACACAUUUCUCUUAAGGAGAAUAUAAUAUUCGCCUUUAACUUCAUGUUGUGUUUAUUAUCCUGCCUAUUAUUCUGAGAGUAAUGAUAACAGCUGACAGACUACACAGAAAACAUCACUGCAUCAAAAAGGUUGUAUUGUUCUUUUGGGAUUGGGUCUUGAAUUUUCAAGUCAAGGCAGGAAUUGACAAACCUGGCAUGCUAAAUGUUCAUUCAGAAUAAGACUGAUAGUUUGAUUAGUAUGUGCUCUGAUGGGGAAGCCUUGAAAGACUUCAAGAGCUUCUCAUGUGUUAGACACUGAUGAACACCCUCAGCAGACACGAACAGACACACAAAUAGGAACAAUUUUGAAAACUUAAUGAGUCCUUGAAAUGAACAUUUGUAUGUUGUUCCAAACCGAUGACUUUCUUAACUGGAACACAAAGGGAGAAGUUUUGUAGCAUGUCCUGGUUACUCUAUUCCACACAGUUAGAAUGAAUUGUGCACGGGAGCUUCCAGCAUCAUGAAAGUGGUCCUGUUUAUCUGCUAUAUUCCAAGUCUUCAUUCAUGAAACGGACAGAUUUGGUUCACAAGUUUAACUCAAUGGCUUCCACUGAAGGGAAAGAUAUUCAGUGCUUAAUAAUACAUUUUGGACUAUUCCCCACAAAAAGCUUUUGUAUUACUCCAGAAGACUUGGAGUAUCAAAACAGGUUUGGAAUGAUCUUUGGGUAAUUAAGCUUCCAUCAUGGAGUUUAUCUUUAUUUGGAUUCAGUCAAGAGGAGUGUUUUUUCAGUUAUGCUUUUUUAUCAUAAUUUCUUCGAGGCACAAAUAGAUGAGAAGUGACCCAGGUUUAUGUCAUGGUCAGUCAAAUUGUGUCAUCUACCAUCUCUUCUUCUAAAGAAAUCUAAUUUCUCAUUUAAAUGUGAAAAGCCUGGUCCAUGUCAUUUUCAAUGUCUUUUGAUGGCAUGAGGUUUUGUGCAAAUCUUGUGUCCAUGCACAGCCUGCUGAAAGACAAGGACAGGCUUCAACACCUGCACAUAUUAUCUAACUCUUUAAGGAGGAGCUCUUAUUUUCAUUCCUUCAGUGAUUUGUUUAUUCUUGCAGUUGCUUAUAUAUUCUCCCAUGAUGAAGUCAAUUUGAUUUUAGGAUUAUUAAUUUCACUUUCACUUGCAUUUUUUGUUCCCAGAUUAGCCUUUUAUUAGGUUGGGGAGUUGAGGCAGGCUACAUUACUGUUUUCUCUGUCUUGUUGUUGUGUGUUAUUCUAGUAUUAGGGGAAGUCCUAAUACAAUUCAUUCCUCACCAAGUGUUCCUUGCAAGCUCAAACACCACGUUCUUAAGAUAAUGAAGGAAAAUAAGGAUGAGGUGUGUUAUGAGAGUGUAUGAGAGAUGUAAGGCUUUUACCAAAAAUAGAGUGAUAUUACUGAUGUUUGCGAUAAGGAUUAAUAUAUUGGUCUGCAUCAGAGAAUAUUUUGAGUAUUAUUAAUUAUUUUUAAACAGGCUUCCUAUUGACAUCUUUUAUUUUACAUUAUAGUAUCUUAUGAUAUUAUUUUCUGACAGAUCUAUUUCAUGAAUGGUUCACAAAAAAAGUUGCCUUGUUGGCAUCAGUUUUGUAUAUUUUUUUCACUGAUUUUACAAUCAACUUCUUAAAAACAUUGCUCUACCUAUUUAGAAAUAGUAAGUGAAGUAAUUUCCUGGUCCUGCAUUUUUCAUUAUAGAAUGCCUGCAAUUAUGUGUAAAUUACAAUAUCAGGUCAAUAUGCAAAGAACAUGAAAUAUAUUUUGUCAUUUAAAAAUGGCUCGUUCAUUUAUGAGGGUCUCUAGGGUGAAUCUGAAUGUUAAUUAACUGUAAGCAAAUUACAGUAUUAUUUAGUAAGUCUAUUGAGCAGAAGCAGAAGUUACUUUAGAGAAGCCACACUGAUGUAUAAACUGUCUCCCUUUUUUAAAAACCUCUCCUUUAACUGUCGUGCUGCAGGGAGAAACUUGGGGGUGCGACUUUGUGGGUUACUCAGGAAACCCUUCUCCCAUACUACCAGCAUAUUAGGAGCUUGGGUCACAACUGACUAAAUGCUCUGGCUAUGCUAUUGGUAGUUAUAGGUGCAAUUGAGCCCCACUGGAUUAACUUUAUCACUGCUAAUAUAUCACUGAGAGAGAGAGAGAGAGAGAGAGAGAGAGAGAGAGAGAGGAAUGGAAACUCAAAGAAUUAAACCAUUCAACAAUCUAAGCAGAGUGGGACACCUCUGUACUGUCAUGCAUGCAUCCUAUAUGCACUUGCCUUAAAGGGUUAGUUCACCCAGAAAUGAGAUUUUGUCAUUAUUUACUCACCCUCAUGUCGUUCCAAAACCCUCAAGACCUUCGUUCAUCUGCGGAACACAAAUCAAGAUAUUUUUGAUGAAAUCUGAGAGGUUUUUUUUUUUAUCCCCCAUAGAAAGCAACAUAAUUACCAUAUUUAAGGUCCAGAAAAGUAGUAAAGACAUUGUUAAAAUAGUCAACGUGACUACAGUGGUUCAACCUUAAUGUUAUAAAGCGACAAGAAUACUUUCUAUGCACAAAAACAAAACAAAAAUAACGUUGACUAUUUUAACGAUAUCUUUACUACUUUUCUGGACCUUGAAUGUGGUAAUUAUGUUGCUUUCUAUGGGGAUUUAAAAAAAAAAAAACUCAGAUUUCAUCAAAAAUAUCUUAAUUUGUGUUCCGAAGAUGAACGAAGGUUUACAGGUUUGGAACGACAUGAGGGUGAGUAAUUAAUGACAGAAAUUUCAUUUUGGGGUGAACUAACUCUUUAAAGGUGCAUUUCAGAAAUGAGCAUCACUGUAAUACAACACUGUUGUUUUCAUUUAACCUUAAAUGGGAAAAAUUAGAGGUUAUUCUUGCCAACCUUUACGCAAGCUGUGUCACACCAAUGCAACCCUGUGUUAAAAAUAUUACAUUACAUCCUUAAAACCCCAAUUUUCCCAGAAUUGUCACCUUCUACUUCCUUCUGCCUGAUGCUUUUCAGCAAAUGCUUGGCCCCGAAGCCUCGUAAAAGUGUGGCACUUGAAGGUGAUUGACAGCUGCUAGAUGAGAACGAGUCAGCAGGCAUUUAAAAGGAAAGUGACAGAGGCCAUGUUGCCCUUAUUUGUGUCAGUCAGGCAGUGAGCAGAGCCUUUUUCUGAGGGGCUUUUAGAAAUGGUGCUCAUAAUAUCAUUCUAAUUGAAAGAACUCAAAGAAUGUGCAGCAUUAUUCUGCAUUUGGCUGGUCUAUGGAAUGACACCAAAAAAAACAAAAAAAAAAAACACUGUUAACCGUUUUGGUUUUCACACUUGCACUGGGAUUUCAGGCCAUUUCAGGCAUGUGAUAAAUUAACCCUUUGAUGUGUACGAUCACACCGGUGUGAUCUAGGUUGGUCCCUAGUUGAUUACUUUUAUCUUCAAUGAGUCAAUAGAAAUUCGAAACGCUAUUUAUGUUUCAACUAAGUUUAGUGGUGCAAUGGAAAAAUAUUUAGUAGUGCGUAAGUUGCCCCUUUACUUCGCAACUAGGCUAAGUUGUAACUUACGUACAACUAGUGUAACCAACCCCUGGAAAGUACGAUCACAAUGAUGUGAUUAGAAUGUUUAGUGCAUCACAUGAUCAACUACUAAAUUCAAAUCUACUUUUGCACUUUGACUGGUGCUGAGACAGAGAAAUACACACAUAGCACUUAUCAUAUAUCGUAACUGUUGUGUUUUCAACCACAUAAUGUUUAUUUUAGGUUUCAGACUUUUAAAAACACAUAAGUGUACUAGUAAAAAUACUUAUAGUUUGUCAAAUACUGAUGUCUAUGGAAGCAGAAAAUCAAUGAAAAAUAAUCAGGAAAAAAACAUUCAAAAUAAUUUGACGAUGUGUUUUAUUCAUGUCAGAAACACAUUGCGUAGGUAAAUAUAAAGUUUACUCUAUUCUUCUCCCAUUUCAACUUCACCAGCCACUAACUUUCAUGUCUUUCUGAAGGAUGGAUGAAUUACCUGUUGUAAAUCCAACAGACUCUGAUUCAGUGUGUUGCAGUGCAAACUGAUCAGAUAACAUGAUUAUUAUAAAUGUGAGACAAAAUACAUUUGCAUAUAUUUGAGAAUCAGAAUAUCAGAUAUCAGAUCAAGUUUGUGAAUAUUUUGAAUGAAAAAGAAAAAGAAAUAAACCUCAUACAUCAGUCAUUAAGCGCCAUUGUGGUUGAGGUGUGUCAAGUUUGAGGCGUCUCAAUGGAAAUAGAAAUGUGAUACAUUCUGAAAUAGCGAUCACCUUAAAAAAAUGACUUUAGUGGGUAACUAAAGUCAAAUGAAACACACCAUAUCAUAAGUCACAUCUUAAGUUUGUAGGUGGAGUUGUUAUUCACCUUUUAGUGGCUAAAUGCUGCCCUUUUUUUUGCUGUAACAUCUUACCGUACUCUUCCCACACACACAUACACAGACUUGCACACAUAUACCACAUUACUCAUAUGCAGAUCACUGUGUCACCAUUUUCUCUAUACAGCUGUUUUCUAGACUCAGGUAAUGCAUAUUUAAAGACAGUUCACUCAAAAAUGACAUAAAAAAGAUGUGUUUUUGCUAAGACUUCUUCUGAAAUUAUCCCUUUAAAGUCAACGUGAACUACAAUUCGCAAUCCACUUACAUCAAUAAUGUGAUGGAUUUCAAAGUGAAAUGGUAUUCAGUGAGAAUAAAUGUAGGGAAGGAAUUAAUUGGAUUGUUAAAAAGUGAGAGUUCGACACCAGAAUACAGCCAGACCGAAUAUGAAUUUGCUAAAACAAUGCCUAAAAAGCUAUAUGACUUUUGGUUAGCAUUUUCCAAUAGCUGUGAUGGACUGACCAUCCAUCCAGGGUAUAUCCUGUGGGACAGGCUCGGCUCCAGUAUUGCCGUAACCCUACAUAGGACAAGCAGUUAAUGUACAUGAAAGUAAGUAUUUUAAUAUAAUUUUGAUUUUGUUGUCAAAAGAUCAUGUGAUAGAGUUCUCUUCUUUUUCCUUUAACAUACAGGAAAGAAGGUCUCAGAGAGUCUAAAGUGUCUCCGGGCUGCCCCCACUGUGGAAUAUAUUUAUCACAACAGAAGCCUAUUGCAGGUGUAGUAUUUGAGCUGAGAAGAGAUACAGUCAGAGGAAAUUCUGCAGCUGCAAUUCAGAUGAAUCAUAAAAAAAAACAAUGCAUAAAUGUUGCUCUCUUUCUUUCUCGGUAUGUCUCUGUCUAUUGAAAUAUACAAAUAUGAAUUACGGAAGAUCAAAAUGCUGUUUUUAAUUCAGGGGCUUAGAUUUGUUUUGAUGGCUGUGCUACAGUAUUGUGUUCACUUGUGACAGAUCAAUUUUACUCUGGCAACCAAACAAAAUACAAUAGUCUUAGUUUGUGUUUCUCGGUUCAAUUGUUAAGUACCAAUUGAGUUGAGCAGUUGAGGGGGGUCAUAUUGUGAAAGGAAUGGCAUGAAAAUAAGUCUUUAUUAAUCAAUAAUCUGCCAUUUAUUUAAUCAAAAUUUGUGUAAAAAGGAAUACAAGUUGUUGGUAUUUUACUGCCUGUAGUGUUUAUUUAAUCUGGAAACUUUCCAAUGUUGGAAAAAACACUAUGCUAGUUGAUUAACAAAAUGAGGACAGGAGGCUAGGGGGCUUAGGGUUUGAAUGGAAUAGGGUUUGUGCAAAAAACAUCUAAGAGGUCCAAACUUAUUAGACAGGGUGACCAGACAAUCCCUAUUUUUAAAGACCUGUCCCCGACUGGAGUUCUCCUCAAAUGUCCCUUGUGAAAUAACACUUAACACUUAAUGUGCUAGAUAUGCCACACAGUGAAAUAAGCCCAUAGCGAAAUAGCACUUAAUGUGCCAAUGUGUUUAAAACCAUUAUAUCAUUGUGUAAAGUGAGUCAUUUCAUAUUUGUUUUGAGUUUUAGAAAAAAAGAAUAUAUAUAUAUAUAUAUGUGUGUGUGUGUGUGUGUGUGUGUGUACUGACUUCAGACAUGACGCGUGCAAUUGAAUAAAUGCUUUAGUGUAUAUAUGUGUGUAUGUAUUGGGUGUGAGUGUGAAAUGAGAGACAGAGAGGGAGCCUUGUUUUCAUGUUUCCAAAUGAAAGAACCUCUCUUACCAGCUCUGGCUUGUCGUUUCCACUAGGUCUAAUCCAACCCCCGAUAUCUUCCAAAAUAAACAAUCCAGCGUUAACACAGCGUUAACGGGUUUUUUUCACCUUUACUUCUGCCAUGUUACUUGUGGAGAUUUAUAGAUGGAAAAAUAAGCAUAUGUCUGAUGUAUGUGUCUGAUUAAAAAUUUCUUGUACUAAAUUAUGUGCUCAGAAGAGUCUUUAUAAAUAUUUGGUUAAUAAUGGUUUAGAUGCCAAAAAUGGCAGUUUAUGAAAUGUGAUUUUUUAUGAUAUAAAAAUGCAUAAUCAUGUACGUGUGUCUGCUUUGAAUUCAUAAUUGAAAUGUGCCCAUGUUCUCAGAUAGUGGGCCUUUGUUGACCUUCUGUAUUUCUUUUGAUUUAUUUGCGAUGAUGAAGUUUGAAGUCAGAGGGCAGCUCAUAUUUAAGGCCUUUCUCUGUGAGAGUGAGCCAGUCUUAGAGGUCAGUCAUAGUUCCCAGAGUGGUUCUCAGGUCUGAUCUAAUCCUCCUUUGCCCUCUUCUCUUGCUCUUAACCAGUGAGAAAGAACAGGCCUUAGCAUGUUUCUGUAAUGCGGUACAUGAUGCGGGCCAACCAAAACUUGAUCUUAUUUGUCCUUCUGGAAGUACGGAAAAUUUGCUAGGAAUUCCUAACUCAUAUUGUAGCAUGUGCGUGUGUCUGUGUUUGUGUUAAUGGGAAAAGUGUGAGUUAACCAUUCCAAGACUGUAGUGCAUAAAAAUCAUGCAAGUCACAUUCAGUUAAGUUUCCCUUUUGAGCAGACUGCAGACACACUUAAAGGUGAAUACUUUCUCCCAUCAAUAGAGUUAUACAAAAGCCAUUUGUAACUUGGUUCCCCAGAAGAUACCCAGUGAUAUUAUUAAAGGCACAUUAUGUAACUUUUCACUGUUAGAGGUCGCUUAUUCAAAACAAAGGCGUAGCUUGAUUUCGCAGAAUCAUGGGAGAUGUUGGGAGAUGUUAAAUAUGGUAUUAUUUUCAAUUAAUGGUUGACAUGAUAUUUUGAGUGAUUAAAAUUUUUCUUGAUUUUAAAAUCAUAUGUAAACAUGAAUACAAAGAGAUACUUUUUGGCAUCUCACAUUUAUUCACAGGCUAAUUUGGUGCAGUUGCUGAUAUUUAUAUGGCCAAAAAGUAAGAAAUUCUGAUAGCUUGUAAUGUAAAUCAAUGAGAUCAGUAUAACAGACUACUUAUAUAACAUGCAUAUGAAUAUCAGUUGUCAAUAUAUCACUCAAUAAAAUGGAUUAGUAAGAUGAUAUUUAAUUAGUAACAUAAUAUAAAAGUUAUUCUUAAGUUUACUUUUAAAAAUCAGUUUUAAAAAAUAAGUAAAGUUUAAAAUGAAAGUAGUCAAAUCUUGUAACACGACAUGAAGGGGGACAUAGAAUUAUACUACAAGGCUUUUUUUUACUUGAUACAAAGUAUAAACUAUCAAUCAGAGGGCAGAAGUAGUAGAUCAAAUGUGAUACAGUAGGCUUUCUAGGGUUUAUAAAAAAAUUAGAACAUUUAAAAGAUUUUUCCUUUUCUUUGUCAUUGACAAUACCUGUCAACAUCUUUGCGUAUUUACCCUAAACCGGGAUUAGUAGGUCUCUACAAACAAUGUGCUGGUUGUAGAGCAGUGGCCACUCCGCCAACUGGCCUGCCAUGAAGCAUUAACAUCCAAUAACGUUCCUCCAAACACACACACACACACAGCAGUUACAGUCAUAAAUCAGUUACAAAAACAAAAUGUGUAUGUUUUUUUAAAGGGUCUAGUAAGCAUUGUGUCCAUUUGACCCUGAUCAAAGAGCAACAUGCAGCUGCUGUGAGUGUUGUCUCUCAUUGCUGCCAUGUGUUUAAUAUUGUGACUUUACAAACUAUUAAAUCAUUGAGACAGAUCUUUUGUUGAUGGCUUUGUAAUUUUUGUAUUUUAGUAUAAUGAUUUUAAGCUGUUAUUUUGUGAUCUAAUUGAAUUGUGAUCUUGGCCUUUUGAAAGUAAUGGAAAAAAUAAAUAAAUAAAAUAAGCAAAAUAUGGAGAGGUAUAAGUAUAGGUACUUAUUUAUUUAUUUUUUAAUUAAAGAAUUUCAUUAAACAAUAAAGUUAUGGGAAAUUAAAAUUGGUAAUUGUAUAAAACAAUGUUCAUUGUGUUUGACUGAAUAAGUUUUCACAAUCAUUUUGUUCAGUGUUUUCAUCAAAUAUGUCCUCUUACUGCUCCUAUGUCACGUCAAAUUCUUCAUAUCUCAGCAUGGACAGCUUCUCAUCCAUUUUCAUAUCCCCACUCCUGUUCCCUCCCCCAUGCUGUUCCUUCUUGCUCCCCUUUCUCCUCAGUUUACUUUGGCCCAGCAUUGACUGUUCCCAGGUCAGCGUUAAUUAUUUUCAAACCCUCAGUCUGCAUUAAAGUCAUGCCAUGUGACAGGCCCAGGCGUCAGCCACUUCCGCCUAAGCUUCACACAAUCUGAAAGAACUGGGUUGCCAGUGAGCCCUUAAUUGCCUUUUGAAAUGCUGUGGCUCGAUUUGCAAUAAAAAUUGUGGCUUUUCCCCCACUACUGUCAUAUAAAGUGUCCUUCAUAUAUGCUAGUAUAAGAUGGAAUUGGUCUGGGUUCUCCCUAUUGUGUUUUACUGUCCAAUUUUCUUUGCAGUCUCUGGGAAAUUCAGUCAUGGAAAUGAUUGUCAGUGAGACAGACUUCUUGGUAUUGAAGUGUUGUUGGUGAUAUCAUCAGCUUCCAUUUCUUCAGCUGCAUUGCAUUAAUUUGACUAAUUGGGGAAUAUUUAUAGAUAUAACUGAUUAAUAACAUUCCUAUACUCCUUUUAAUUACAGUUUUAUAAGUGCA